UCAUAGCUUGGGUCCUAAAUGCUUGUUAAUAAUAAGAAAAGCCAUACCACAUUCACUAUGUUUUUCUUACGUGCAUCGUUACUACUCAUUAGCACUGGUUGUGUAUGUUUUACAAUAUAAAAUUUUACUCAGUUUCCUGUACGAAACCGAAAAAAAGUGACUUCAAAGAAAUAUAAAAUACAAAAGAAACAAAAUUGUGGGCUUGGAGGUG
rnacentral:lncRNA from 1 species